AUUGAACGCUGGCGGCAGGCCUAACACAUGCAAGUCGAGCGGCAGCGGGAAAGUAGCUUGCUACUUUUGCCGGCGAGCGGCGGACGGGUGAGUAAUGCCUGGGAAAUUGCCCAGUCGAGGGGGAUAACAGUUGGAAACGACUGCUAAUACCGCAUACGCCCUACGGGGGAAAGCAGGGGACCUUCGGGCCUUGCGCGAUUGGAUAUGCCCAGGUGGGAUUAGCUAGUUGGUGAGGUAAUGGCUCACCAAGGCGACGAUCCCUAGCUGGUCUGAGAGGAUGAUCAGCCACACCGGAACUGAGACACGGUCCAGACUACUACGGGAGGCAGCAGUGGGGAAUAUUGAACAAUGGGGGAAACCCUGAUGCAGCCAUGCCGCGUGUGUGAAGAAGGCCUUCGGGUUGUAAAGCACUUUCAGCGAGGAGGAAAGGUUGAUGCCUAAUACGUAUCAACUGUGACGUUACUCGCAGAAGAAGCACCGGCUAACUCCGUGCCAGCCGCCGCCGUAA
rnacentral:rRNA from 1 species